rnacentral:rRNA from 1 species
UACGUAGGGUGCGAGCGUUAAUCGGAAUUACUGGGCGUAAAGCGUGCGCAGGCGGAUAUGUAAGUUAGAAGUGAAAUCCCCGGGCUCAACCUGGGAAUGGCUUUUAAGACUGCGUAUCUAGAGUUUGUCAGAGGGGGGUGGAAUUCCAAGUGUAGCAGUGAAAUGCGUAGAGAUUUGGAGGAACACCAAUGGCGAAGGCAACCCCCUGGGAUAAAACUGACGCUCAUGCACGAAAGCGUGGGUAGCAAACAGG